rnacentral:rRNA from 1 species
CCUACGGGUGGCAGCAGUGAGGAAUAUUGGUCAAUGGGCGAGAGCCUGAACCAGCCAAGUCGCGUGAGGGAGUACUGCCCUAUGGGUUGUAAACCUCUUUUGUCGGGGAGCAAAAGCCGGACGUGUCCGGCUGUGAGAGUACCCGAAGAAAAAGCAUCGGCUAACUCCGUGCCAGCAGCCGCGGUAAUACGGAGGAUGCGAGCGUUAUCCGGAUUUAUUGGGUUUAAAGGGGGCGCAGGCGGAUUUUUAAGUCAGCGGUAAAAUCGUGGGGCUCAACCCCAUCCAGCCGUUGAAACUGGGGAUCUAGAGUGUGCGAGAGGUAUGCGGAAUGCGUGGUGUAGCGGUGAAAUGCAUAGAUAUCACGCAGAACCCCGAUUGCGAAGGCAGCAUACCGGUGCACAACUGACGCUCAGGCACGAAAGCGUGGGUAUCGAACAGGAUUAGAUACCCCGGUAGUC